UGGGGAAUAUUGGACAAUGGGGGGAACCCUGAUCCAGCCAUGCCGCGUGUGUGAAGAAGGCCUUAUGGUUGUAAAGCACUUUAAGCGAGGAGGAGGGUACUGGUAUUAAUACUACCAGGUACUGGACGUUACUCGCAGAAUAAGCACCGGCUAACUCUGUGCCAGCAGCCGCGGUAAUACAGAGGGUGCGAGCGUUAAUCGGAUUUACUGGGCGUAAAGCGUGCGUAGGCGGCUAAUUGAGUCGGAUGUGAAAUCCCCGAGCUUAACUUGGGAAUUGCAUUCGAUACUGGUUAGCUAGAGUGUGGGAGAGGAUGGUAGAAUUCCAGGUGUAGCGGUGAAAUGCGUAGAGAUCUGGAGGAAUACCGAUGGCGAAGGCAGCCAUCUGGCCUAACACCGACGCUGAGGUACGAAAGCAUGGGGAGCAAACAGG
rnacentral:rRNA from 1 species